GGUGGCUGACCCCCAGCCAGCGCAGACUGGUAUGCAACAGCCGUCUCUGAGCGGGUAUCUCUUUGAGAGGCUCACUCUCAAGCAUGAUUAGGAAGGAAGCCUCGCCUUCC
ensembl:miRNA